rnacentral:rRNA from 1 species
GCGCAGCAGUCGCGAAAACUCCGCAAUACGCGAAAGCGUGACGGGGCCAUCCCGAGUGCCGUCCGCUGAGGAUGGCUUUUCCCUAGUGUAGAUAGCUGGGGGAAUAAGGAGAGGGCAAGUCUGGUGUCAGCCGCCGCGGUAAUACCAGCUCUUCGAGUGGUAGGGAUGUUUAUUGGGCCUGAAGCAUCCGUAGCCGGCUGGGCAAGUCCUCCGUUAAAUCCAGCGAUUCAAUCGUUGGAUUGCGAGGGAUACUGGUCGGCUAGGGGGGGAGGGAAGCCAACGGUAUUCCCGGGGUAGGGGUGAAAUCCUAUAAACCCGGGAAGACCACCAGUGGCGAAAGCUGUUGGCUAGAACACGGCCGACGGUGAGGGAUGAAAGCUGGGGGAGCGAAGCGGAAUAGAUACCCGGGUUAGUCC